rnacentral:lncRNA from 1 species
CAUAAUAAAUUUUAAAAAUGUGAUACAAAAUGAAUUUUUUAUGGUUUGUAAGAUUUAAGGUGCCUUUUCCCUUGUAAUAGAAGCUAUGUUUUUGCACAGAGGAGAAGUAUGGUAUUUUAUGAGAAGACAUGCUAUGAAUGAUGAAAGGCUCUAUUUCAGCAAGUCACAGGCAGAAAAGUCCAAAACAAUGGAAUAGAACUGCAGCAUUGUUGAAAUGCCUGCAUUGGCCCAAAAUUCAACUCUUAUUUCAGUUUUCUACCUCACUGCAAUACCUUCUGGAUAUCUUUACAAUGUCAACAUCCAAUUUCACAGUGAGUACCUUUUCAAUGGACUGUCUCUUAAUUGCUUCUAGAAUGUUUUCUAAGUGCCAAAGGAUCUUAUUUAUUUUGUGUGAAUUGCUUUUAGUCUCAGAGAGUGUGUCCUUUUUAUGUUCUUGAUCUUUCUGUUUUCUAAUUUUUAGGAUCCAGAGUUAAGAAUAUAAGAGUAUUUUACUCUUGGACCUUAAAUGGUCACUGUCUACUCUCUAGAUGAGGUAUAAUGCACAUCAUUCUUAAAGUUGGCAGUGUAUUUAUAUGCACAUUUUACAUAACCAUUGCAAUUAUCUUAUAAUCUAGACUAAAAAAUGAAAGUUCAUUGUAUAACCAUAGAAAACAUUUUGUUUUUUUUAGCAUGUGCACUAAAAACCAUAGACUUUUAAAUUCUCUUCUUUUCCUUUCUAAGUGCUCUCAUCUACAGUAAAAUCUGAUUUGGGAGAAUGGAAACUAUUAAAGUAAAACCAAUCAACAACUAAAAAUAUUUUGUAGAGGAAAGGUAGGAAUUCCUUAAUGGUUUCUGAUUAUAAGCACCUUUAGAAUAGUUCAUAAUGCUACAUAUAAAAUUAAAGAAUGAUAGUAGUUUUCCUAAAUGAGUCAAUAGAUAGAUAUUUUCUUUAGUUUGACAGAUGGAAUUUUCUUCCAGAAUUCAGAUUUAAAAGUACUUUUUUUCUUUGAGACAGGGUCUUGCUCUGUUGCCCAGGCUGGAGUGUAGUAGUAUGAUCUCAGCUCAUUCCAGCUGUGACUUCCUGAGCUCAAAUAAUCCUCUUGCCUCAGCCUCCCAAGUAGCUGGGACCACAAGUGUGCAAGAUCAUGCCCAACUAAUUUUAAUUUUUUUUUAGAGAUCAAGUCUCACCAUGUUGCCCAGGCUCAUCUCAAACUCCUGGGCUCAAGGGAUCCUUUCACCUUGGCCUCCCGAAGUGCUGGGAUUACACGUGUGAACUCCUGCACCCAGCCUAAAACUAAAACAUUUUCUUUAACACUCAACCUGAGUUCAAUCAACCAUUUUGAAACCCUAAAAGCAAACAACAACAACAAAACAAGUGCCAUCAAAGUCUUAUUUUCCUGACGUAGCUCUAAUAUUGUUAUAAACACAUACUAUACACACACCACACAUACCAUGGACACUUACACAUCUUCUUUCAGAUGCCCAUUUUUUUUUUUUUAAUUUGGUUUUACUGUAUAAUAAAAACACUCAGGACAUACAACCCCUCCCCACAAUAAAA